GUGAGGAAUAUUGGACAAUGGGCGCAAGCCUGAUCCAGCCAUGCCGCGUGCAGGAAGACGCAUCUAUGGUGUGUAAACUGCUUUUGUACGGGAAGAAACACUCCCUCGUGAGGGAGCUUGACGGUACCGUAAGAAUAAGGAUCGGCUAACUCCGUGCCAGCAGCCGCGGUAAUACGGAGGCUCCAAGCGUUAUCCGGAAUCAUUGGGUUUAAAGGGUCCGUAGGCGGUUUAAUAAGUCAGUGGUGAAAGCCCAUCGCUCAACGAUGGAACGGCCAUUGAUACUGUUAGACUUGAAUUACAAGGAAGUAACUAGAAUAUGUAGUGUAGCGGUGAAAUGCUUAGAUAUUACAUGGAAUACCAAUUGCGAAGGCAGGUUACUACUUGUGGAUUGACGCUGAUGGACGAAAGCGUGGGGAGCGAACAGGAUUAGAAACCCCUGUAGUCC
rnacentral:rRNA from 1 species